rnacentral:rRNA from 1 species
UACAGAGGGUGCAAGCGUUAAUCGGAAUUACUGGGCGUAAAGCGAGCGUAGUCGGUUAUUUAAGUCGGGUGUGAAAGCCCCGGGCUCAACCUGGGAAUUGCAUUCGAUACUGGAUAGCUAGAGUUCGGCAGAGGGAAGCGGAAUUUCCGGUGUAGCGGUGAAAUGCGUAGAUAUCCGGAGGAACACCGGUGGCGAAGGCGGCUUCCUGGACCGAUACUGACGCUGAGGCGCGAAAGCUAGGGGAGCAAACGGG